AUGCAAGUCGAGCGAAUGGAUUGAGAGCUUGCUCUCAAGAAGUUAGCGGCGGACGGGUGAGUAACACGUGGGUAACCUGCCCAUAAGACUGGGAUAACUCCGGGAAACCGGGGCUAAUACCGGAUAACAUUUUGAACUGCAUGGUUCGAAAUUGAAAGGCGGCUUCGGCUGUCACUUAUGGAUGGACCCGCGUCGCAUUAGCUAGUUGGUGAGGUAACGGCUCACCAAGGCAACGAUGCGUAGCCGACCUGAGAGGGUGAUCGGCCACACUGGGACUGAGACACGGCCCAGACUCCUACGGGAGGCAGCAGUAGGGAAUCUUCCGCAAUGGACGAAAGUCUGACGGAGCAACGCCGCGUGAGUGAUGAAGGCUUUCGGGUCGUAAAACUCUGUUGUUAGGGAAGAACAAGUGCUAGUUGAAUAAGCUGGCACCUUGACGGUACCUAACCA
rnacentral:rRNA from 1 species